rnacentral:lncRNA from 1 species
AAGGUAGAAAUGCAGAAGCAGCGGAAUAAUUUCACUGGUGAAGCAGAGUUAUGCAGCGAAUGUAAUUGGAUAAUGGAAGAAGGGAUGUAUGAAGUGUUUUGGUGAAGGGAGAUCUAGCUCAGAAUGCCUUCUCCAUUGGAAGGAAGCUAGAGGGGAAAAAGUGGAAAUAUAAGGAAGGACUUUCGAUAGGAGAAAAGGCUGGAAAAUGCAUCAGCAAUUCAUUUCUCUCAAACAUCAAAAGUGUUUUUACAUGCUGAUGCAAAGCAAAUAUAUAAUAAAAGACCCAAGUUAUGGACGGUGCAGAUGGUUGUGGAAGAAGCUCAGAUCUCCACACGUGUCAGCGGUGAGGGAUGUGUGUUCUUCUUCUGGAAGAUGCAAGGCAACGUGCAUGGGCAGCCAACGUUCCAGCCGAAUCACGUACCGAAUGUGGUGAUGGUGUGAUACAUGUGUAUUUUUCUUGAGGCAGCUCCAUGCUUGUUAUUCUCACCCCUUCUCCCUUUGUGUAAAUGACUUCUUUGUCCUUCUUCUUGGGUUGGAUAGUCCAUGGUGUCCUAGCCUUAUUGGACCCUACAAAACAACCAUAUAAGUAUUAAAAAAGAAAUCAUUCUAAGACCUAGAAAAAGAAAAUCAAGAAAAAGUCUUUCUUCACUCCCCUUUCUUAGCCUUAGCUUUAGUUAGUACUCUUUUGAAUGGAAUGCCCUAAAUGGGUUUCCAUCAUACCCUCCCUCUUGAAAAACGAUUUGUCCUCAAAUCGGGAAGAUAUAAAGAAGCACAACUUUGGUUUGUCACUUUCCUCCUGGAUCAAAAACAUAUCUACAAUAAGCAUCAAACACAUCUCUAAUUAGUAUCAAUCCAAGAAAGAACUUUUUUGUGGAAGUAAUUUUAGAAUAAGGACUUUGUUUUAUAGUUUUAAGGAAAUUUGAAAGUCCUAAUUCACAAGUCACUUUUCUUUUAUCUUGAGUUUCUUGUAUCCCUAAGGGUAAUAAUAACUCAAGAUUUAAAUUGCCAUAUUUUGAAGAGGGUAGUAUAAUGAAAAUUGGUAUGGCAAUUAGUUUAAAAAAGAAGUUAUCAUGAAAAGACUUAAAUAUAAUUGAAAAAGAAUUAAAGGAUUGGAAACCUUCCCUUUUUGGUUCCCUUGUAUUUGUAGGAGUAAAAUUUGUCAUCAGUAGCAAUUGCUCAUUUUCUCUCUUUUCUUCUUUUCUCUCUUCAUCUUUUCUCCUCUUGUCUUCUUCUCUCUUUCUCUUUUCUUCUUCUAUCAUUUCUCUCAAUUUCUCUUCUCUCCUUCUAGUCUCUCUCUCUUCUCUUAUCCAAGAGUUUCUCAAGUUUUUCUUUGAAUUCAAUUUCCCUACGAGAGAAACCAUCUAGACCUUUCAUAAAUGUUUUUCCCUCUUGAAUGAGGUGUCCCAUUAAUUCUAGGUCUCUUUUGGCUGAAAGAUGAACAAAUUUUCUUCUCAUGCAAGCUUUUAGUUCAAACCAAUCAUGAAUGGAGGAUUUUCUACCUUUCUUAACACUAUAUUGUCUCUCAUUCCACCACUCUCUUGCAUGCUCUUCUAACCUAGAGAGAUAUAUGCUAAGAACAUGAGAUUCACUCUCUCUAGAAAGAAAAAUGGAAUCAUAGGCUCUAGACUCACUUUUGUUAACAAGGGAUGGAUGCAUCUUAUCAAUUUCUUUUUCCCAAGAUAGGUAUGCUAAAGCACUAAUGUCCUUACCAAAAAAUGGAAUAUCUUUCUUAACUUGGUUGCUCACCCUCAUUUUGAUUUUUCAUGUAUUGGGCAAACAAGUCCCUAAGCUCACUCAUUUCUAUUUCUUUCUUAGACAUCUUUUAACUUCAAAAGUGGAUUCUUAGUUUGGAAAGGUUUAAGAUUUUGCCAAGAGAAAAUUCCCAGGUAAGAGAAGUGAGCCAAAGGCUGCUUAAAUACCAAGUCUUACUUAGCCAGAAUGUCUAAGGCUACUUACUUGACCAUUUUCAAAGUAAGAUUCAUUAUCAGAAUUAAAAAUGGACUCAAACAAACAAAAAAAAAAAUCAAAACACCUAGACUUCUAAUUUGCCGACAACAAAAGUCUAGCAGACUUCUAAUUUGCGGACAACAAAAGUCUAGCACGUGGAAAAUAAGAAAAUAAAAGAAAAGAAAUCCUAGGUGAGGCUUGUAGCUUUUGGCUAACAAGACACACUCACCAUUUAUUUAUCAAAGCAAGCAAAGAAAAUUGCCAAGAGUGGAGAGAGCACCAAGAACUCUUCCAAACACUUGGUCUUAUGUCCUUUUACAAGAAAACAAAUGAAAACUACUCCAUGUACGGACUAAAGCUCGUUUCAGCUGCUUCCUUGCUCUUUUUGAUCCUUCAUUCCUUGUAUAUUACUGUUUCAAUCUUGUAGACCAGAGAGGGGGGGGGGUACUGCAGGACGUGCAACACAUGUUUUUUGCUGCAGGACAUGUACUGGCUACUGCAGGAUGCUGCUGCUAUCUUCUGGACCAAUUUAUAUUUAAGAUGCAAUCAGAGGAAGACUUGAUAUUCUGUCGUUCCCUAUAUCAAAGAUCAUAUGAAACUACCACAGCUAGCUUAUAAAACUCUUUCCAAAUCAAAUCUGCUCAGCUGCAAAAUUCCACGAUCCAGCAAAUACAACAAGGCUAGCACUUGCAAUUUAUGGAUCAAUGCUUUCACUUUCCAGCUCAAAGAAACAGUUGCUAAAAGUUAAGCUUUUAAUUUGGCUGCAAGGAAUUGGUUCAAACAGGUUGCUGUUGCAGCAAUGUAUGCACUUCAGCAGUAGAAUUCUACAACACCGUAAGCUGAGCUAGAUCGGCUGCUGCAGCAGCAUUUUAUACGUUCCAGCAAGUCAAAUUCUGCAUAAAAAAUUACACCAGACAGCAAAUACUCCAAACUGAUGGAUACUAAAUGUGAUUAGCGUUACAAGUUCAAAUCAUAACUCAAAUGAGCAAAACAAAACCAAUUGAGUUAAUGGGGUUCCAAAAACUCAUUUCAUCAUGAAAGUUGCAGCCAAAACAAAAUUUGCAAGUUGAUUCAAAACUUGAAUAUGAUCAGUUUAGAAAUUUUGUUUUGGAACAACUCAGAAGUGUAAAUCAGCAAGUUUAUUUGACAAAAUCAGUUUUAAAUUUUGAUCCAAAUCCAUUUGGCAAUGUGAGUUUCAAUUAAUGGAUCACAAUCAGAAACAGGGUUGGCAAACAGCUUUGGCUUCUCACAAGAAUAGGUGUUGUUAAUGUACAACAAACUAUGCUCACAGCUGCAUGGGUGUAUAGGAGGCUGGUGUUCCAUGUACACUCAAAAUGACUUUGCAAAGGCUGCAAUUCAGAUUUGCUUGCUGUAGUAAAUGGAUGUGCAGCUGCAACAACUCGGCAGUUUCCAGCAAUAAAAUUCUGCACCACCGAGCCACUUGCCUGAAUUAUUUCCACCAAUUCUCCACUUCCUAAGAGGCUACCAAUGUUGUAGUUCCUGCAUCCAUUUAGAUCUCACACAGACCAAACAAAAUCAAUUAUGAAACCAGAUCAAACACCCUGCUGCUGCCAGAAAUUAUUAAACCAGAUUGCACAAAUAUACUUUCAUCAAACAACUGGUGUGCAGAGUUUCAAACAAAUAAAAAUCAAGCAAUUAAACGGCUUGCAAUAACAGGUGGCACUCAAAAUGAUCUUAGGAUAGGCUCUAGAGUAGAUUUAAAAGCAAGAAAUGCAUACAAGUUGCAUAAACAAUGAAUUCGAACUCAAAUUCAACAUAGGCAAAACUGUUUGUUAAAAUGCCUAAGAGAGUUCUUUGACUGAUGCACCAGAAUUAACAAUUUUGCUUGGCACUGGUUCACACAACUUUUUCAAAUAAGUGCUAUUAUUAAAUUUGCAUUGUACAUUACUUGUAACUCAAGUGAACCAAGCUUUUGCUGCCAAUUUUAAGGUGGAACUCGGUGCAAAGAUCACAGCCACGAGGCAUUACAAAAUUCUGCAACUCAUAUCAGAAAAAGUGUUGAAAAUUAGUGGUUUGAAUGACAAUUAUGCACAAACACGUUUGGACACUUAAUUUUAUGAUUGAAGCAACUUUGUUUUACCAAAUGUGACUUGUUCAAACUGCCAGCAGAGGCUAAAAGCUUGGAAUUCAGAUUUUCACUAGUUCAGUUGCUCUCUAGCACCAAAAUUAAGCCAAAACACCAACCAAUUUUCAUCAGAGGAAUCAAACUGAACUGGAAACAAAUCUUAUGACUCUAGAAUAGGAAUUUAAACUUGAACAAGACUCUAGGAAUGAUAUAAAAGAUGUCCAGAAGUGAGUUCUAAGCUGGACAGAUUCAAAAAUCACAAAAAUCAAUCAAACAAUAGUGCAGAUCGGUCCAGCUGUUGGAAUAUAUUUUUCUGGUAAUUGGAAAUUGAUAUAAUACAAUUUUUGACUUAAACCAUUCAUUGUUCAUUUGGUAUGUAACUUUUACGUGUUCCAUCAUUCAAGAACACAACCAGAACAUAUGGUGCAAAGUCAAAUAAGCUUGAAAACAGAUUAAAUUACUGUAAUGCUUGGUACUGCACUUGAUGGAAUCAAAUUGCACUUGAGCUCUUUGAAUCAUUGCUCUUAUGAUGUGCAGCUACUGAAUAACCACUCAAGUCAAACAGAUUUAUCCAGGCAGAGAUCCAACUUCAGAAUUUGACAAAAUUAAACCACCACACAUGACUAGACAUGACAGCAUCAGAUUUCAAAAUUAAAAGACUCAAAAUAAGAAAUGAACCGAUUAAAAUGAUAAGACUAAAGCAAUGAAAAGCUGGAACAAUGAAAUUAAUAACAAAAUCUACGAGAAUUGGAAAUGGAAUGUAACAGUGUGCACAAAACAAGAAAACACGAAGGAAAAAUUAUGACAGUAUGGAAUGGAAAGAACACUUAGCUAUGGAUGCGUGGACGACCACAACUUUGAUACCACUUGAUGGAGUCAUCCUUGGUGCUAUGUUCAGAACCGUGAGCUCCAAAGGUAUAAAUGCAGAAGCAGCGGAAUAAUUUCACUAGUGAAGCAGAGUUAUGCAGCGGAUGUAAUUGGAUAAUGGAAGAAGGGAUGUAUGAAGUGUUUUGGUGAAGGGAGAUAUAGCUCAGACGGCCUUCUCCAUUGGAAGGAAGCUUGAGGGGAAAAAGUGGAAAUAUAAGGAAGGACUUUCGAUAGGAGAAAAGGCUGGAAAAUGCAUCAGCAAUUCAUAUUUCUCAAACAGCAAAAGUGUUUUUACAUGCUGAUGCAAAGCAAAUAUAUAAUAAAAGACCCAAGACGGUGCAGAUGGUUGUGGAAGAAGCUCAGAUCUCCACACGUGGCAGCGGUGAGGGAUGUGUGUUCUUCUUCUGGAAGAUGCAAGGCAACGUGCAUGGGCAGCCAGCGUUCCAGCUGAAUCUCGUACCGAAUGUGGUGAUGAUGUGAUACAUGUGUAUUUUUCUUGAGGCAGCUCCAUGAUUGCUAUUCUCACCUGCUCUUCCUUUGUGUAAAUGAGUUCUUUGUCCUUCUUCUUGGGUUGGAUAGUCCAUGGUGUCCUAGCCUUAUUGGACCCUACAAAACAAUUAUAUAAGUAUUAAAAAAGAAAUCAUUCUAAGACUUAGAAAAAGAAAAUCAAGAAAAAGUCUUUCUUCACUCCCCU